rnacentral:lncRNA from 1 species
CGGCAGUUAUGCUUCAAGGACUGGUUUGAGUUGGAACUACUUGUUCAUCUCUCUUCACCUGAUUCUUCCUCUUGUGUAUCUUCUUUGAUUAGUAAGAAAUGGUGCUUCUCUAAGAAAGCUUUCUUGGGUUUAUGUAAGAAUGCACUUGUAACGUGGAGAAAUUCUGUUUCUUGAUGUUGGGGCAUAUGAAUAAGAAAUUAUUUAUUUAACAAACAAGGGAAGUCGGAAGGAAUUGCUAGCUUAAGAUUCUCCAGCUUACAGAGUUAAAUCUUAGCUUAAGGUGUAGUUUGGUCCAUUGGGUUACAACUUACAUAGCUCUCGAGCAACUGCUGUUCCCUCUUGUGUAUCCUGAAAGACUCGAAGUCUUGUGUUUCUUCUUGUACCAAAGUAGGAACCAAAUCCUAGCUAGAUGGUAGACAGAGUGGACGACAAGCAUUUAAGGUUGAGAGCUUGUUUAUAGUGCGAAUGUGGUUUUUUUUUAAAAAAUAAUUUUUCAUGUUAAAAUUAAUGUCAAUAAUAUUUUUUUUAUUGUUUAAAAAUGAUUUUUAAUAUUAUGAUUUGAAAAUACUAAAAGUAUAUUAAUUUAAAGUUAAUAAAAACGUAAAAUUUUUUAAAUUUUUAAAAAAAUAUUAUUGAAACAGAAACAAACAGCUCUGAAUUUUUUGCACGCAUUGCCAAAGAUCAAACUACCAAAAAGGCAAAAACUGUUUUCCCACAAAAUGCUUCUUGUUUGACGACGAAGCAUUAUUAAUUUGAAAGAUUAUUUGUUCUUUGAUUCAACAUUUAAGAGAGAAUUCUCGAAGCAUUUUUUAUAUCAAUUAAAAUUAAUUCUUUUUAAUGAUUCUAAAUAGUAUAGUGUAUUAAGUAUUUUUUUUUAACUAACCUCCUUGUAUGCAGGUCCUAAGAUUUGUAAUAUUUUACAAUAUUCAUAUCAUACACAGACUCCCAAGACUUUUGUCUUACAAAGGAUAUAACAAUUUAUAUAAUAAUUUAAUUUUUUAAUAUAAUAUAAUACCAUUUGACUAAAAAGGUAAUAUAGGCCCUAAGAUUUGUAAUAUUUUACAAUAUUCAUGCAUUAUACACAGACGCCAAGACUACUGUCUUAUGAAGGACAAAACAAUAUAAUAAUUUAAUUUUUUAAUAUAAUAUAAUACCAUUUGACUAAAAAAGUAAUAUUAUUUACUACUGGAUAGAUCCGUUCGGGUACGGAUCCGAGUCAGAAGCCCAUCCAAGCGGAUAAGGUAAAAGUCCGGUGUUUUUCAAAGUGGGCUAAAUCGCCAUCCCUAAGAAGUCGGCCGAAUGUUUCUAAGGAAAGCCCAUAAUAGAGCAACCGCUUAAAAAGUAGGUCCACUAUAUAAACAGUUAUGUUUUCGUGCGUUUCAGUUCAGUUGACAGCGACAUGCAACUUAGACAGACAGACAUUUCGGUCAUGACGAUGCUGAUAAAAUUGGCAAAGUUAACGAUGUCUUCUCUUGUCUUCAUCUCUUAAACUUUCCAAUAAAAGAAACCCUCAAAACCCUAACAAAACCCUCUCGUUAUCAUCUUCACCAACAAGAAAAGGUAAAGCCUUUUUCUCUUUUAUGCUCCUUUUCUUGAUAUUCUGUCUAUUUCUUUUUUUUUUUCUGGCCAAAACCAAAUUGUUCUUCCUUGACUCAAAUUCCCAUUCUUCAUGUAAUUGCAUGGAAAAAGUUUGUUUCUUCGAUCGUUUUGUUUCUAUACCCUGUUUUUCGUUUCACAAACCCGAUAAAAUUUGGUCUUUCUUAAUGUUUUUUAUUUUAUAUAUAUGUAGUAAAUUUUUUAAUGGAAAAUAACUGCUAUGUAUUUAGAUUUUUUUUGAAAUUUGACAGUUAUUGUUUCCUUAGAAGUUGAUUAUCUGAUAUUGAAGUUCAUAGAGAGAAUUAAUUCGCUAGAAAUGGCUAGUACUGGACAAUUCAGUGGCAAAUCACUUUACAGAGGAUUGACAAGUAGAAGUAGUGGUGAACAGAGUCGAUUAACAAAAGGAAAAAGGAAAUUUUGUUUGUUUUAUCAAAGUAAAGUUGCUAAAGGAUUGGGGGGUGGAGAUAUUGUGUCGAGAAAGUGUCAUUUGUGUGCCGAGCAGAAGAAUUCUUUGUCGCCUCUGGUGAUUAGACAUCGGAAGGCGCGAUUUGGGGUGGUUUGUUGUCAGUCAAGUUCUGGGUAUGGUGUGGAAUCCACUGAUGAGCAGGAGAGAUUGGUUUUAGAAGAAAACAAGCGCGGCAUUAUCAAUGGUUCGAGAGGUGAAGAAAGGUAAGAAUGAAACUGCAUCUUUUAGUCACGUUUCAUUAUUUGUUGUUCUGGAUAUUAAAAAGAUGCUUUCAUGUAGUUGUUGUUCAUGUGAUUUUAUGAAUUUGAUAUUGUAAAAGAUAGCAUCAACGAUACUUGAGUUGUAAAUAUUAUCUAAGACUCACUCUUGAACAAUUUCUUAUGUUAUUAACUCUUUGCUAAAAGAAAUAACAAUUCAAAUAACUAAUUUUCAGCAUCA